AGAGUUUGAUCCUGCUCAGGACGAACGCUGGCGGCGUGCCUAAUACAUGCAAGUUGAGCGCUGAAGUCUGGUACUUGUACUAGAUGGAUGAGCGCGAACGGGUGAGUAACGCGUGGAUAACCUGCCUCUUAGCGGGGGAUAACUAGAGGAAACUUUAGCUAAUACCGCAUAAAACUUAGUAACACAUGUUACGAAGUUGAAAGUACCAAUUGGUACACUAAGAGAUGGAUCCGCGUUGUAUUAGCUAGUUGGUGAGGUAAAGGCUCACCAAGGCAACGAUACAUAGCCGACCUGAGAGGGUGAUCGGCCACACUGGGACUGA
rnacentral:rRNA from 1 species